GGCGUCGCGACGCCAUGUGUUAUUCAUCAAUGAUCAAUAUAAAAGUAAACGUGGUUAAGAUAAAAUAUUUCAAAAUACUCACCUCAUCGUAGCUACCAUUAAUUCUGCUAACAUCUAAAUAAUAUUUGCACCGUAUCGAAGAGGUUACUUUACGAGAUUUGGACAUCUUUUGAACACAACCUACGGGAGAAGCACAAAUUCCCAGAAUACUUGACGAACUUCCGUUUUCCUUUCUUGCGACCCUUUUCACCCGUUUCUGAGAACAACAUCAUUAACUACCUGAGACUGUCUGUACUUUUAUUACACAUGACUGAUUUUCACAAAUAUGAGUUGCGGUCAAUUUUCAACGAUGAAACGGAACGAAGGAUAUAGAACGUAUCGAGCAUGGUAGGCUUUCCCCGGGAAGAUGACGAUACCUCGCUAUUGUAGACUUCCCCUUCCCAGGGACUCCCGCCCCACCCCACAGAUGGCCCAGAGAGAAUGACAAUACAUGUAUAGGAGAGGGUCCCGUUAUAUGUAUACCGCAGUUCACCAGAGUCCAUAACUGCGACGCGCAGGUUGGAAGAUGGUGGGGGAACGCAGCGAGCUCUCUGCUAAUCGCUUUCCACUUCGUUUGGGAGUAUCGCCAAUCAGGGCAAAGAUGCGCACUGGAGAAGCGCGAAGAACGAAAACUGGUCUUUUCUAACUAACUAACAUUUACGCGGGAGAAUUUGAAUUGAUAUUCAUAUUAUUAUUUAAAUUUCUUAAUUGUAUAUACACUAAAUUUUGUAAUAUUUAAUAAGUAAAAAUUACAUUAUUUUAUUUCUAAACCACUUCUAACAUUAAUAUCCACAAAAUUAAAAUUUUAAGAAUCCCUGUUUCCUUUUUAAAGACAUUCAACACCUAUGUACCGAAAGAUUCUUGCUAUUAAUUAUACCAUUUCUCUUUGAUUGCAGGAAA